rnacentral:rRNA from 1 species
CGGGGCGUCACAGAGGGUGAGAAUCCCGUAUGUGGCCGGCGGUCAAUUCCAUGUGAAACCCCUUCGACGAGUCGAGUUGUUUGGGAAUGCAGCUCAAAAUGGGUGGUAAAUUUCAUCUAAAGCUAAAUACCGGCCAGAGACCGAUAGCGCACAAGUAGAGUGAUCGAAAGAUGAAAAGCACUUUGGAAAGAGAGUUAAACAGUACGUGAAAUUGUUGAAAGGGAAGCGCUUGCAACCAGACUUGCUCGCGGGUGAUCAGCCUCCCGUGAGGGGGGUGCACUCGCCCGCGAUCAGGCCAGCAUCGGUUUUGGCGGGCGGAUAAAGUCCCCAGGAAUGUAGCUCCCUUCGGGGAGUGUUAUAGCCUGGGGCGGAAUGCGCUCAACCGGGACCGAGGACCGCGCUUCGGCUAGGAUGCUGGCGUAAUGGUUGUAAGCGACGCGUCGUGAAACACGG